ensembl:lncRNA novel transcript
UCUUUUUUGAGACAGAGUCUUGCUCUGCUGCCCAGGCUGGAGUGCAGGGGCGUGAUCUCAGCUCACUGCAAGCUCUGCCUCCUGGGUUUGCACCAUUCUCCUGCGUCAGCCUCCUGAGUAGCUGGGAAUACAGGCGCCCACCACCACGCCCAGCUAAUUUUUGUAUUUUUAGUAGAGAUGGGGCUUCUAGUUUCCAUGAAAGAGCUUUUAUUUAUAUAAGAUGGAAUUCAUGCUUAUAUAAACAUGAAUGACAUCUAAAACAAGCAAUAAAUAUCUAAAAUGUAAGAAAGUAUUAUAAAACAAAUAAAGAGUGAAAGAAAUAAACAGGCACAGUGUGGUGGCUCAUGCCUAUAAUCCCAGCACUUGGGAGGCCAAAGCAGGUGGAUGGCUUGAGCUCACAAGUUCGAGACCAGUCCGGGCAACAUGGAGAAACCCUGUCUCUAC